AGCGUAGACGGUGUGGCAAGUCUGAUGUGAAAGGCAUGGGCUCAACCUGUGGACUGCAUUGGAAACUGUCAUACUUGAGUGCCGGAGGGGUAAGCGGAAUUCCUAGUGUAGCGGUGAAAUGCGUAGAUAUUAGGAGGAACACCAGUGGCGAAGGCGGUCAACUGGACGAUAACUGACGCUGAGGCGCAAGGCUGGAGCAAACA
rnacentral:rRNA from 1 species